AAGAACAACAUGUAUCAAGUCAGUAACAGAUUGGUUUAAAGGGAUUAGCCAUAAGCAUAACUGCAAAUUUACAGAGUUUGAUAUUGUUGACUUUUACUCGUCAAUAUCCAGGCCUUU